GGCUUAACACAUGCAAGUCGAGGGGCAGCAUGGUCUUAGCUUGCUAAGGCCGAUGGCGACCGGCGCACGGGUGAGUAACACAUAUCCAACCUGCCGUCUACUCUUGGACAGCCUUCUGAAAGGAAGAUUAAUACAAGAUGGCAUCAUGAGUCCGCAUGUUCACAUAAUUAAAGGUAUUCCGGUAGACGAUGGGGAUGCGUUCCAUUAGAUAGUAGGCGGGGUAACGGCCCACCUAGUCUUCGAUGGAUAGGGGUUCUGAGAGGAAGGUCCCCCACAUUGGAACUGAGACACGGUCCAAACUCCUACGGGAGGCAGCAGUGAGGAAUAUUGGUCAAUGGGCGAGAGCCUGAACCAGCCAAGUAGCGUGAAGGAUGACUGCCCUAUGGGUUGUAAACUUCUUUUAUAAAGGAAUAAAGUCGGGUAUGGAUACCCGUUUGCAUGUACUUUAUGAAUAAGGAUCGGCUAACUCCGUGCCAGCAGCCGCGGUAAUACGGAGGAUCCGAGCGUUAUCCGGAUUUAUUGGGUUUAAAGGGAGCGUAGAUGGAUGUUUAAGUCAGUUGUGAAAGUUUGCGGCUCAACCGUAAAAUUGCAGUUGAUACUGGAUAUCUUGAGUGCAGUUGAGGCAGGCGGAAUUCGUGGUGUAGCGGUGAAAUGCUUAGAUAUCACGAAGAACUCCGAUUGCGAAGGCAGCCUGCUAAGCUGCAACUGACAUUGAGGCUCGAAAGUGUGGGUAUCAAACAGGAUUAGAUACCCUGGUAGUCCACACGGUAAACGAUGAAUACUCGCUGUUUGCGAUAUACAGCAAGCGGCCAAGCGAAAGCGUUAAGUAUUCCACCUGGGGAGUACGCCGGCAACGGUGAAACUCAAAGGAAUUGACGGGGGCCCGCACAAGCGGAGGAACAUGUGGUUUAAUUCGAUGAUACGCGAGGAACCUUACCCGGGCUUAAAUUGCAGAUGAAUUACGGUGAAAGCCGUAAGCCGCAAGGCAUCUGUGAAGGUGCUGCAUGGUUGUCGUCAGCUCGUGCCGUGAGGUGUCGGCUUAAGUGCCAUAACGAGCGCAACCCUUGUUGUCAGUUACUAACAGGUUCCGCUGAGGACUCUGACAAGACUGCCAUCGUAAGAUGUGAGGAAGGUGGGGAUGACGUCAAAUCAGCACGGCCCUUACGUCCGGGGCUACACACGUGUUACAAUGGGGGGUACAGAGGGCCGCUACCACGCGAGUGGAUGCCAAUCCCAAAAACCUCUCUCAGUUCGGACUGGAGUCUGCAACCCGACUCCACGAAGCUGGAUUCGCUAGUAAUCGCGCAUCAGCCACGGCGCGGUGAAUACGUUCCCGGGCCUUGUACACACCGCCCGUCAAGCCAUGGGAGCCGGGGGUACCUGAAGUGCGUAACCGCGAGGAGCGCCCUAGGGUAAAACUGGUGACUGGGGCUAAG
rnacentral:rRNA from 1 species